rnacentral:lncRNA from 1 species
UCUGCCUCAGCCUCCCAAGUGGCUGGGAUUACAGGCGCACACCACCACACCCAGCUAAUUUUCUUUUCUUUUUGUUAAGAGACAGGGUCUCACUCUGUCACCCAGGCUGGAGUGCAAUGGCGCGAUCUCGGCUCACUGCAACCUCGAACUCCUGGGCUCAGGGGAUUCUCCAGCCUCAGCCUCCCGAGUAGCUGGGAUUACAGAUGUGUGCCACCACGCGUGGCUAAUUUUUGUAUUUUUAGUAGAGACAAGGUUUAACCAUGUUGGCCAGGCUGGCCUCAAACUCCUGACCUCAAAUGAUUUGCCCGCUUCAGCCUCCCAAAGUGCUGUGAUUACAGACUUGAGCCACCACGCCUGGUCUAAAAAGUUUUUUUUUUAAAGUAAUACAUGUGUAUGUUGCAUUCUGUCCCCAUUUGUUUUAGUGUAAUUAUUUUUCUCCCAAGUCUUUUAAUAAAACUAUCCUUCCAGGAAUAAGCACCACAUUGACAUAGUGACUUGCCGCAGCUUCAGCGACCUUAUUAGAGCAGCUUAGCCUUAGUCCAUCUGAUCCCAAAUCCCGCUCUGCCAGGGUUUCAGGAGGCUGGAGCGAGGACUGUCCCAUCCCCUGCUGAGGUGGCUGAUCAGCCAGACCGGCAGGACAUCUGCUCCCAGCCUGUCUCUCAAUGGAGGAAGGUGGGCCUUGAUGUUGAUGUCAGCCCCAAAGGCUAUGGAGGGCCUGCAAACCCCACCACAGACACACACCAGCCCUCCCACAACUGACGGUGUGAGCUGUCAUCAACCUCAAGUCACUCUCAUGACAGCCAAGGCCACCUCACGUCACUCCUGACCCAGAAUUUCAUCACCCCCGUCCAGAGGUCACAAACUAAACUGAAGGCCCGAGGGACUUGUUCACCUGGCUCUCAGGAUGUUACUAUCCCCCCUCUGAAACGAGUCCCCAAAACUUAAAAAUUCAACAAUCGGCCAGGCACAGUGGGUCAUGCCUGUAAUCCCAGCACUUUGGGAGGCUGAGGCAGACAGAUCACUUGAGGUCAGGAGUUAAGACCAGCCUGGCC